ensembl:snoRNA
GGCCUCGUGGGAGAUUAGAACGGGCUUUCUGUUGGCUGGUGUCCAAACCUGGCCCAUGCGGCCCGAACUGAGACACAGGUCACGCUUCCGUCACAGUAAACCACGGUGACGAUGGACCCGUAACGUUU